rnacentral:lncRNA from 1 species
UUCCCCCUCUGACAAAGCACAGAGUACUCGCACCUUCUCCAGAGUCAGUGACCAAAGAUGAGAGAGCAGGGCACCCAGCACAGAAACCACCAGGAGCCAAUGACUUCCUCCUGUGCUCCAUCCUACUCUCUCACUCACACCAGGAAUUAAAUCCUUUUAUGUAGACAGAUGGUCAAGAAUUGCUACUAUAAAGCAACUCAGUAUGGUCUGAACUAUCAGAGAGCUACAUGGAGAAAUAGUUACUGCUAAACAGACCUCUCUGCUGAUGUUUUUCCCAGCUACUUAAGUCCUGAAAAUUUCCACAAGGCUGAGUCAAAUCUGCGUUUCAUCAUCUAUAAGAAAGGUACCUAUCGAGAACACCCUGCUGGCCAGUGUGUAAAUAUCUAAAGGAGGACUCAGAAAACACCGGGGAAGUCCAGCCUGCAUGUGGUGGCUGGGCUUCAGUGAAGCAUGGAGCACAACAGGAGUUGUAAGUAGUAGUUACAUCAGCAGCCCUGGAAAUUCUGCUCAGAACCAAACUGAACAAAUAACAUUAUCUAAAGCUUACAAUUAUUUAACUCCCUAAAUUUUCUGUCCUCCCAGUAGCACUUUCAAAUGCCUAAAAGCAAUUAAAAGAAACAUUUUUCCAAUGUCUCACAGAACCAUUAGAAACACAAAAUUAAUAGCUUCAUAAACUAUAGCUUCUAUUUUAUCCAUAAUAGAAUGAAGGUGCAUAAACCACAUAGUAAUUAAUCUUUGGACAAAAGCAAACAAUUAAUGGAAUAUAUGGCUAAGAUCCUUUCUUUUUUAGUGUGGCCCAAGAUAAAAAUUUCUUCCAAAAGGGUAUCAUUAAUGCAAUAAGGCUUUUGUGGAAUUCUAUUUUGUAUGAAAUUCCUGUUUUCUAUUAGCUACUUCUUCCUCUGUGACACAAGCCUCAUUCCCUGUGAAAAACACGAAGCAGAAAACAUUCGUGAAAUCAUCAGGUAAAGAUCCCACGACCGUUCUAUCACUGACACAGUAUGUAGGUACAUGGUACAACCCCCAAGGGACCACCUUGUGGCAUCCUCAGCAACCACAGAGCCACAGGGCAAAUGAGUGUUUGCUCCCACUGAGGCUCUGCAACCUCUGCCACCAAUACUGGAGAAAUCCUCCAACCUCACUGUUUUCUCCUGAACUUGUUCCCUUCUGUUUUUCGAUUAAUUCACAGCAAACAGGCACACCUUCAAGCUGCCAAAAGCAUCUUAAACGUUGUACACUUACAAUCUUCAAAAUAUAGUUGUUCAAAAGAGUCAUCAAAGUAGUUUUUGAAAUAGAACACUUACUUUGACCACAUAAUUGAACCUUCGGAUAUCUUGAAUUGCACUUGAGAAGUCUAACCGAUUAAAGGCUUCUCCCAAGGUGCAAUAGCCAUGCCUCUGGAAGAGCAACACAGAAGUUAAAAUUAGUCAAUUAGCCAAAAAGAAUUGGCAGUUAAUGUCAAUUAAUUGUGCGAUUAAAAAAAUUUUUGGCAAAGGACAAUUUGUUUUUAUUUUGAAGACUGACUUUAGAUUUAGAUGAGAGUAUAGUAAAAUUGUAGCAAUGCUAAUAAUUUAAGCUGUUUAUGUAUACCUGAGACACCGUUAACUGACAUUUUUUACAACCUGCUGAAGUAAUGACAAAGACAAAUAUUUAUUAAAUAUCUUGCUGGUUUGUUUUGUUGGGGACAAACUGGGGUGUGGACGACGUUAAAGCUAAGAUCAUAAAAGAACUGGAUUCAUUCUAGGCUACGCAACUAAAAAUACAUAAAUCAUCUGCUUAACUGCAUUGUAAGGAUGUAGGUGUUAUAAAUAUCUAGUUGAAACACAGGAUUUCUCUGCAGGGGAGGCAUGCACUGCCCGAGUUUGAAGUAUAACAUGGGAUUUCUCUCCAGAGCAGCCAUGCACUGCCCAGGCUGGAAGUAUGCUCAACCACAAGGAUCAGGGCUGGGAGAGGCGCUUCGGUAGCAAGAAGGUGCCUCUGAAAACCAGCAUUGGGAUGGAGAGGGCUGAAGGCAAGUGCUGGAUGUGACCAUGGGCAGCUUUCAGGCUGGGAGCACGGAUGCCAAGAACCCAAAACACCAAAAAAACUGGUGCUUAGAACCACAGGUCCAAGAACUGAAGGAAGAAAAUGAAACAAUUUAUUUUCAGUACUGUAAACACUGCUGCUAUUCUCUUAGAUGUUUUUCUUCCAUGAUAUACCCUGUAUUGGUUUGUAUAGAUUAGCACAUUAGGUUUCAGAAGUCAUUUUAAACUCCAUCUUCAUCCUCCAUAUUUGAAAUAUUUAAAAUCUACAGAUUUUCAGGUCAAAGUUGUAGAGAUAAGUAAGCUAGAAAACAAUAAUAGAAAACAUGAGAUGAUUGGUCUCAAAUUCCAAACAGGUGACUUGAGAUGUCCUAGAGAAAGCAGCUGGAGUCAUAGCACCUUUGUCUCUAACAGCCGAUACACUCAGAGGCUCAUGUGCUUCUGUGCGUCACCCCCAAUCGCCCUGACAGGUGCACAACUCAACAAAAUAUACUCAUUUAAAACAUCCAAAUAUGUUGACUGAGUGCCUGCUAUGUGGAAAACAUUUUCCUGGGAACUCUGGGGAAAGGAAACACUCAUUUUGAUAUAGAUUAUAAUCUGAAAUCCAUCACAGCUGAUAUUCCACACGAUGGUGUAGCAGACACUUUCCAAGGUCACCACCCAUCUCACAAAAGGAAAUUAAAUCUGAUUCACAGAGCAGACCACAAAGAGCAUGUCUGGACCUAGAACCACAGCAUGUAACCUCGGAAGCAGUGAGACACCAGCCAGCAUGGACAAGCAGCAGGCACUUGAUCUAUACCAGGUAGGUCCCACCUCCAGCCUUCCCCUGCUGCCAUCUAACAUCCUAAACUCCAGCUCUGAAUGUCUGUCUCCUGCUCUGAAUCUUCAGUGACUUCGAAACUCAAGUCAGGACACCUCUCAGUUUGGCCUCACUGCUCAAGAUUGAGCUGAAUUCAUGACCAUAAUUCAAGCAUUCAGAUUCAUGGGCUGUUUUGUGGGUUUUGCUAUCUCUUAUUUUGUUUUUGCACAUCUUACCCACUGAAACGUUGGGCUGCAAAAAUUUGAUCACUAUGUAGGCAAUGCUGGAUACUGGGCUGUUAUUUACACAUUUGUAUCACCUUUUAUUUCAUAAGAUAGCAUUGUCAGAGUAAUUUAGUAUUUCAACAUAAUCAACA